rnacentral:rRNA from 1 species
AGGACGAACGCUGGCGGCGUGCUUAACACAUGCAAGUCGAGCGGUAAGGCCUUUCGGGGUACACGAGCGGCGAACGGGUGAGUAACACGUGGGUGACCUGCCCCCUACUCUGGGAUAAGCUUGGGAAACUGGGUCUAAUACCGGAUAUGACCUGAGGUUGCAUGGCUUUGGGUGGAAAGCGUUAGUGGUGGGGGAUGGGCCCGCGGCCUAUCAGUUUGUUGGUGGGGUGAUGGCCUACCAAGGCUUCGACGGGUA